rnacentral:rRNA from 1 species
CCUACGGGUGGCAGCAGUGAGGAAUAUUGGUCAAUGGACGAGAGUCUGAACCAGCCAAGUAGCGUGAAGGAUGACUGCCCUAUGGGUUGUAAACUUCUUUUAUAUGGGAAUAAAAUGUUCCACGUGUGGGAUUUUGUAUGUACCAUAUGAAUAAGGAUCGGCUAACUCCGUGCCAGCAGCCGCGGUAAUACGGAGGAUCCGAGCGUUAUCCGGAUUUAUUGGGUUUAAAGGGAGCGUAGGUGGAUUGUUAAGUCAGUUGUGAAAGUUUGCGGCUCAACCGUAAAAUUGCAGUUGAAACUGGCAGUCUUGAGUACAGUAGAGGUGGGCGGAAUUCGUGGUGUAGCGGUGAAAUGCUUAGAUAUCACGAAGAACUCCGAUUGCGAAGGCAGUUCACUGGACUGCAACUGACACUGAGGCUCGAAAGUGUGGGUAUCAAACAGGAUUAGAUACUCUUGUAGUC